AAUGCCAAUGGAAUUCAGAUGGGUGGGAAGGGGGCAAGGAUUCUAACAUCCUCCAAAUAAGGCUCCCUUCACGUAAUUGGGCAUUUGUGCCUUGAGUUUCUGGAUUCCAUUCUCAAUAUGCAUGCUGAGUCACUCCAUUUUCUUCCUAGGGCUUUUCACUUUGCCUUCCAGGAUUACAAAUUGAUAUUAUCUGCUUAGGCAGACCCAGGCUUGUCAGUACCAGGGCUAUUUGAUGUUGAGAAGUGGCCAGGAGAUCUUGGGGGAAAUUGCAAUACAGAAUUAUGGAAGCAUCAAUUAAAGUAAUCUAAACCAAAGUCCUCCUUGUUCCAAGUAUCUGGAUAUCUAUUUCUCUCUCUCUCUUUCCCUUUGUCUCUCUCCUUCUUUUAGUUUUUUGUUUUUUGGUCUGAUUUAUCACUGAGUCAGACAACCAGCACUGCCUUUUGAUGACAUGCCUUGGGCUACAAAAAACUCAGAUGCCAUCAGGAGAGACUCUGGCUUGUGGAAAUACUAUGUUCUCUUCCUGCCUUCUGGUGACUGUACAAACUCAAGAAAAAAAAAGAAAAAAAAAAAAAAAAAAGCCCAAGCUGCAGCUCCACACAGGGUGUCUAGCCAAAAUGCAAAGUUUUACCACAGCGCACAAGUAGACAGUGUUUUUCAAGUGCGGGAACAGAGUGAGGUGCCUUUCAGCACCUUUUCUGCCACUUCUUUAAAAAUGAUUUAAAUUGGAGGCAAUAGCAUCGAAUGCUGAACAUCUGACACUCAGACAAGACUUAAUGAAUCAUACACUUUAACAACAUCACUCUUCUCCAGCCACUUCACUUGGCAUCCGUGGUGGUUGUUUUUUUUUUUUUUUUUUCCCACAAAAACAUUUGUUCUGCAGACCAUUUGCUUGUUCGAGUGUCCUGGGCAACUCUUCAUUCAUGGCAGGGAGAACUGGCCCACGGGAGGCGGCAAGGCCGAGUCCCUCUCAUGUCCAGGCCUGGGGCUGCAUUUCUGAGUCAAAGGCAGCAGUGGUUGUUAGGAACCCGACUGAGAACCACCUUUGGUCUCCCCCCUGUUCAAUGGGUUGCUGAGGAUUUCUCCCAACCCCACCAACAGCCAGCACUGCCAUUCAACUGACUUGAAUCAAACUAGCAAAAAAAGUCAUGCUUUUGUGGGGAGCAAAAUACCAGUGUUAGGGAAAGGACAGAGAUUCUGAUACUCAAGCUGGAGCAUUAUCCUCGGUGUCAUUAAUUAAUCCUCUUUGUGUGGGGCACUGCAGGAUAUAGCUUGCCUGGCGAUUGCCUGUGCUAAGGUGACAGGCAGAGAGGACACAGUCUGCCCAGCUUCACCAAGGACCAGAUGCCAUUGUCUCCCACACUUUUCGGAUGGGUCACUAAUUUGGUGCCAUUGGCAGAGAAAGCAGGAAAGGGGGGGGGCGUUCCCUCUAGGCGGCAGCGUAUGCAAACAAUUUAAUCUUCCAAUCCAAUCCUUAAUGUAAAUGUUUAAUAUAAACCUGAUGUUAACACGAUGUACAUGAAUUUACUGGCAGGCAAAGCUGGGAUUUACAUCAUUCUGAAAAUCAGAUGUUCUUUGCAGCCGGGGUUGGGGAAACCUUUAAAUAUGGUAAGGUUUUCCCUCUGAAUGGCAGGUGCAUCCCUAAAGCACACACGCCCAGUGCUCCACCGGGGGACCGAGUACUCACAGAUGCCGGAUUCCGAUGUACAAGUUGAAAAGAUCUU
rnacentral:lncRNA from 12 species